rnacentral:lncRNA from 1 species
GGAGACACCUGUGUGACCAGAAAGGUCAGCACUGACAUCCAGGACAACAGAUGCAGCUGGCUGGCGGUUCAGUGUCUGCUACAGACCACUCCUCAACUGCAGCAGGUCUUGGAUGAGAAUUCUGGGCAGAAGGACCCAGAAAAGGUGGCCCAGGUGAAAGCACUGUGUGAGAUCUGCAGUGUGUGUUCUUCAAGUAUACGGAAGACAGACAGAACCACCUCAGCAUCUCACAGAGCAGUGCUCUGCCCUGUCCACCUUCCUGGAACUAGCAGACAAGAUCUACAAGCGGAGAAAUUGUCGAGGCUAGGAGGGAGGGAUCUCAAUAAAUUAUUGUUCAACCAAAAAGUCAAAUUGUAUUGCACAG